ACGCUCGACACCUACUGGAGGCAGCAGUUGGGAAUAUUGGACAAUGGAGGAAACUCUGAUCCAGUGACGCCGCGUGAAGGAAGAAGGUCUUCGGAUUGUAAACUUAUUUUGUCAGGGAAGAAAAAAUGACUGUACCUGAAGAAAAAGCACCGGCUAACUACGUGCCAACAGCCGCGGUAAUCUGAGCGGGCUGGCAAGGC
rnacentral:rRNA from 1 species